CUUUACUAGAGAUUGUUUCAGUAGAUGUUUGAAUACUAUUAUAAAUCUGGUUGUCAAUCUCAUUUUGUUUUGUUCUUUUAUGUCAUCUUCUAACUCUAUUUUGGGUGCUUGUUUUGUUACUAAUUUCUGAUUUGAACUUGAUAUACUAUUUUAUUUGUUUGUGACAACAAAUCCAACAAAUCUUUCUAGAGCAUUUUUUUGAGAUUGAAUUAGUUUUUCAAUUUUUCUUUUCUUUUUGAAUUUUUCAUACCCACAUUCAUAUUUUCUAUUAGACAUUUGAAUCUGAAAAAUAAUAGUAUCAAACAAAGCAAUUAAGACAAUCACUACAAAUAAACCAAAAUAUAAAAGAGUUAAAAAUGAUAAAACUUAAUCAUGUCAAGACAAAUGAACUCAAAUCUCGAAAAGCGGUGUCGAACUCGAUAAUGAAAAGUAGUGCUGGAGACUGACGGGUAGAGUUGGAGAAGAGGCCAAAGUACUAGCCGGAAAGACGUCGGGCGGCGAAGUGGAGUUGGAGAGGACAAAGGUAAGGCCGAACCUGAGGCUGCUCGGGAUCUUGGGUGUUGCUUUUCUCUCCUCUUUAAAUUUUUUCAAUAACAAAGAGAAAUUAAGGGUGUCUCUUUUCGAUUGCCGAACGCUCUCUCUCUCCUCUGUUCUUCGAUUCACAUGGGCGACAAGCACAUGUAAUACGAUGUGGUUUCGUUUGUUGGCUUCUCUCCUCUCUUGACUCUUCCCUCCUCUUCUCAUGCUGCUGCCACUGCCAAUAGUGGGAGUGAGAUGAUGUCUUUUGUUGUUAUGCCUAAAGGCAGCUCUGGUCACGCUUCUAUAAGAAGCUUGAGCGAGAAGCAACAGAGAACGACGAAGAAGGAAUAGGAAAGGA
rnacentral:lncRNA from 1 species